rnacentral:rRNA from 1 species
AUUGAACGCUGGCGGCAUGCCUUACACAUGCAAGUCGAACGGUAACAGGUCUUCGGAUGCUGACGAGUGGCGAACGGGUGAGUAAUACAUCGGAACGUGCCUAGUAGUGGGGGAUAACUACUCGAAAGAGUGGCUAAUACCGCAUGAGAUCUACGGAUGAAAGCAGGGGAUCGCAAGACCUUGUGCUACUAGAGCGGCCGAUGGCAGAUUAGGUAGUUGGUGGGAUAAAAGCUUACCAAGCCGACGAUCUGUAGCUGGUCUGAGAGGACGAUCAGCCGCACUGGGACUGAGACACGGCCCAGACUCCUACGGGAGACAGCAGUGGGGAAUUUUGGACAAUGGGCGAAAGCCUGAUCCAGCAAUGCCGCGUGCAGGAUGAAGGCCUUCGGGUUGUAAACUGCUUUUGUACGGAACGAAAAGCCCCGGGUUAAUACCCUGGGGUCAUGACGGUACCGUAAGAAUAAGCACCGGCUAACUACGUGCCAGCAGCCGCCGCCGUAA